UACGUAGGUGGCGAGCGUUGUCCGGAAUUACUGGGUGUAAAGGGAGCGUAGGCGGGGUCACAAGUUGAAUGUAUAAACUACCGGCUCAACUGGUAGAAGCGUUCAAAACUGUGGUUCUUGAGUGAAGUAGAGGCAGGCGGAAUUCCUAGUGUAGCGGUGAAAUGCGUAGAUAUUAGGAGGAACACCAGUGGCGAAGGCGGCCUGCUGGGCUUUAACUGACGCUGAGGCUCGAAAGCGUGGGUAGCAAA
rnacentral:rRNA from 1 species